ACGGAGGAUCCGAGCGUUAUCCGGAUUUAUUGGGUUUAAAGGGUGCGUAGGCGGCCUGUUAAGUCAGGGGUGAAAGACGGUGGCUCAACCAUCGCAGUGCCUUUGAUACUGACGGGCUUGAAUACACUAGAGGUAGGCGGAAUGAGACAAGUAGCGGUGAAAUGCAUAGAUAUGUCUCAGAACACCGAUUGCGAAGGCAGCUUACUAUGGUGUGAUUGACGCUGAGGCACGAAAGCGUGGGGAUCAAACAGGAUUAGAUACCCUGGUAGUCCACGCCCUAAACGAUGGACACUCGAUGUUGGCGAUAUACGGUCAGCGUCUAAGCGAAAGCGUUAAGUGUCCCACCUGGGGAGUACGCCCGCAAGGGUG
rnacentral:rRNA from 1 species